rnacentral:rRNA from 1 species
GAUGAACGCUGGCGGCGUGCUUAACACAUGCAAGUCGAACGGAAAGGCCCAAGCUUGCUUGGGUACUCGAGUGGCGAACGGGUGAGUAACACGUGGGUGAUCUGCCCUGCACUUCGGGAUAAGCCUGGGAAACUGGGUCUAAUACCGGAUAGGACCACAUUUUGGAUGGUGUGGUGGAAAGUUUUUCGGUGUGGGAUGAGCUCGCGGCCUAUCAGCUUGUUGGUGUGGUAAUGGCCUACCAAGGCGUCGACGGGUAGCCGGCCUGAGAGGGUGUACGGCCACAUUGGGACUGAGAUACGGCCCAGACUCCUACGGGAGGCAGCAGUGGGGAAUAUUGCACAAUGGGCGCAAGCCUGAUGCAGCGACGCCGCGUGGGGGAUGACGGCCUUCGGGUUGUAAACUCCUUUCGCUAGGGACGAAGCGCAAGUGACGGUACCUGGAGAAGAAGCACCGGCUAACUACGUG